CAGCCGCCGCGGGAAUACGGAGGGUGCAAGCGUUAAUCGGAAUUACUGGGCGUAAAGCGCACGCAGGCGGUUUGUUAAGUCAGAUGUGAAAUCCCCGAGCUUAACUUGGGAACUGCAUUUGAAACUGGCAAGCUAGAGUCUUGUAGAGGGGGGUAGAAUUCCAGGUGUAGCGGUGAAAUGCGUAGAGAUCUGGAGGAAUACCGGUGGCGAAGGCGGCCCCCUGGACAAAGACUGACGCUCAGGUGCGAAAGCGUGGGGAGCAAACAGGUUUAGAUACCCCAGUAGUCCCUGUCUCUUAUAC
rnacentral:rRNA from 1 species